rnacentral:lncRNA from 1 species
UUGUGAAGACCUUAGUGCCAAAAAUACUUGCAUGCAUUAUUCAUGCACGCAUGCAUGCAUGAUGCAUUCAAGUAUAAAAAAAAAGUUACAGAUGUUUAAUUAUACAAAAAGAUUAUGGAUGUGGUACUGCAAGUAUAUUCAAUUGAUUAUGCAAUUAAACCAUCACCACUUCCACAGCCACCUUGUCUCAAGCAUUAAAUCGCAUUCUAAGAUAUCUUUAUUCAAAUUAAGUGUGACUACUUUACCAAAAGACUCUAGAAUGGACCAAUCAA